rnacentral:rRNA from 1 species
AGUGAACGCUGGCGGUAGGCCUAACACAUGCAAGUCGAACGGCAGCACAGUAAGAGCUUGCUCUUACGGGUGGCGAGUGGCGGACGGGUGAGGAAUACAUCGGAAUCUACUUUUUCGUGGGGGAUAACGUAGGGAAACUUACGCUAAUACCGCAUACGACCUACGGGUGAAAGCAGGGGAUCUUCGGACCUUGCGCGAUUGAAUGAGCCGAUACCGGAUUAGCUAGUUGGCGGGGUAAAGGCCCACCAAGGCGACGAUCCGUAGCUGGUCUGAGAGGAUGAUCAGCCACACUGGAACUGAGACACGGUCCAGACUCCUACGGGAGGCAGCAGUGGGGAAUAUUGGACAAUGGGCGCAAGCCUGAUCCAGCCAUACCGCGUGGGUGAAGAAGGCCUUCGGGUUGUAAAGCCCUUUUGUUGGGAAAGAAAAGCAGCAGGUUAAUACCCCGCUGUUCUGACGGUACCCAAAGAAUAAGCACCGGCUAACUUCGUG